AGUGUGCUAGCUUGCUAGAAUUUAGAUACAGGUGCUGCACGGCUGUCGUCAGCUCGUGUCGUGAGAUGUUGGGUUAAGUCCCGCAACGAGCGCAACCUCGUGUUAGUUGCUUAACAGUUCGGCUGAGAACUCUAAACAAGACUGCCUACGCAAGUAGGAGGAAGGUGAGGACGACGUCAAGUCAUCAUGGCCCUUACGGCCAGGGCUACACACGUGCUACAAUGGGGUAUACAAAGAGCAGCGAUACGGUGACGUGGAGCAAAUCUAGAAAAUGCCUCUCAGUUCGGAUUGUAGUCUGCAACUCGACUACAUGAAGUUGGAAUCGCUAGUAAUCGUAGAUCAGCAAUGCUACGGUGAAUACGUUCCCGGGUCUU
rnacentral:rRNA from 1 species